AUACAGAGGGUGCAAGCGUUAAUCGGAAUUACUGGGCGUAAAGCGCGCGUAGGCGGCUUGAUUAGUCGGAUGUGAAAGCCCUGGGCUCAACCUGGGAACUGCAUUCGAUACUGUCAGACUAGAAUAUGGUAGAGGGUAGUGGGAUUCCUGGUGUAGCGGUGAAAUGCGUAGAUAUCAGGAGGAACAUCAGUGGCGAAGGCGGCUACCUGGACCAAUAUUGACGCUGAGGUGCGAAAGCGUGGGGAGCAAACAGGAUUAGAAACCCUAGUAGUCC
rnacentral:rRNA from 1 species